AACGAACGCUGGCGGCGGGGUUUAGGCAUGCAAGUCGCGCGAGAAAGGGGCAACCCGAGUACAGCGGCGUAAGGGUGAGUAAUAGGUAGUUCACGUAUCCAUGAGACGCGGAUAAUUCCUCGAAAGGGGUUGUAAUACGCGAUAUCGUGCGAUGGGAUCAGUCCUGUCGCAUGAAAGGUCCGGGAUCCUUCGGGACCGGGCGCUGAUGGAGCGGACGACCUCCGAUUAGCUAGAUGGCGGGGUAACGGCCCACCAUGGCGAUGAUCGGUAGCCGGCCUGAGAGGGUGUUCGGCCACACUGGGACUGAGACACUGCCCAGACUCCUACGGGAGGCUGCAGUCGCGAAUCAUUCACAAUGGGCGCAAGCCUGAUGAUGCCACGCCGCGUGCGGGAUGAAGGCCCUUUGGGUUGUAAACCGCUGUCACGGGGAGGGGAACCGCUGCGCAUGAAUAGUGUGCAGUCCGACUGCUC
rnacentral:rRNA from 1 species